CUCAACUGGGAGAGGUCAGUCGAAACUACACGGCUUGAGGGUUAGAGAGGGGUGCGGAAUUCCUGGUGUAGCGGUGAAAUGCGCAGAUAUCAGGAGGAACACCAAUGGCGAAGGCAGCACCCUGGCUGACCACUGACGCUGAGGGGCGACAGCGUGGGGAGCGAUCGGGAUUAGAUACCCCGGUAGUCCACGCCGUAAACGAUGAAUGCUCGGUGCUGGUAGUGAUACAAGACUAUCAGUGCCCAAGUUAACGCGAUAAGCAUUCCGCCUGGGGACUACGGCCGCAAGGCUAGAACUCAAAGGAAUUGACGGGGGCCCGCACAAGCAGCGGAGCGUGUGGUUUAAUUCGAUGCAACGCGAAGAACCUUACCCGGGUUUGACAUACAGGUAGUAGUGAACCGAAAG
rnacentral:rRNA from 1 species